GGAGCUACCAUGCAGUCGAGCGGUAGCACAGAGAGCUUGCUCUCGGGUGACGAGCGGCGGACGGGUGAGUAAUGUCUGGGAAACUGCCUGAUGGAGGGGGAUAACUACUGGAAACGGUAGCUAAUACCGCAUAACGUCGCAAGACCAAAGUGGGGGACCUUCGGGCCUCAUGCCAUCAGAUGUGCCCAGAUGGGAUUAGCUGGUAGGUGGGGUAACGGCUCACCUAGGCGACGAUCCCUAGCUGGUCUGAGAGGAUGACCAGCCACACUGGAACUGAGACACGGUCCAGACUCCUACGGGAGGCAGCAGUGGGGAAUAUUGCACAAUGGGCGCAAGCCUGAUGCAGCCAUGCCGCGUGUGUGAAGAAGGCCUUCGGGUUGUAAAGCACUUUCAGCGGGGAGGAAGGCGGUGAGGUUAAUAACCUCAUCGAUUGACGUUACCCGCAGAAGAAGCACCGGCUAACUCCGUGCCAGCAGCCGCGGUAAUACGGAGGGUGCAAGCGUUAAUCGGAAUUACUGGGCGUAAAGCGCACGCAGGCGGUCUGUCAAGUCGGAUGUGAAAUCCCCGGGCUCAACCUGGGAACUGCAUUCGAAACUGGCAGGCUAGAGUCUUGUAGAGGGGGGUAGAAUUCCAGGUGUAGCGGUGAAAUGCGUAGAGAUCUGGAGGAAUACCGGUGGCGAAGGCGGCCCCCUGGACAAAGACUGACGCUCAGGUGCGAAAGCGUGGGGAGCAAACAGGAUUAGAUACCCUGGUAGUCCACGCUGUAAACGAUGUCGAUUUGGAGGUUGUGCCCUUGAGGCGUGGCUUCCGGAGCUAACGCGUUAAAUCGACCGCCUGGGGAGUACGGCCGCAAGGUUAAAACUCAAAUGAAUUGACGGGGGCCCGCACAAGCGGUGGAGCAUGUGGUUUAAUUCGAUGCAACGCGAAGAACCUUACCUGGUCUUGACAUCCACAGAACUUUCCAGAGAUGGAUUGGUGCCUUCGGGAACUGUGAGACAGGUGCUGCAUGGCUGUCGUCAGCUCGUGUUGUGAAAUGUUGGGUUAAGUCCCGCAACGAGCGCAACCCUUAUCCUUUGUUGCCAGCGGUUAGGCCGGGAACUCAAAGGAGACUGCCAGUGAUAAACUGGAGGAAGGUGGGGAUGACGUCAAGUCAUCAUGGCCCUUACGACCAGGGCUACACACGUGCUACAAUGGCAUAUACAAAGAGAAGCGACCUCGCGAGAGCAAGCGGACCUCAUAAAGUAUGUCGUAGUCCGGAUUGGAGUCUGCAACUCGACUCCAUGAAGUCGGAAUCGCUAGUAAUCGUAGAUCAGAAUGCUACGGUGAAUACGUUCCCGGGCCUUGUACACACCGCCCGUCACACCAUGGGAGUGGGUUGCAAAAGAAGUAGGUAGCUUAACCUUCGGGAGGGCGCUACCACU
rnacentral:rRNA from 1 species